UUCAAACUGAACUUUCAAUGAUUGGAGAGUAAAAACUUAUUCCAAUUAUUUCUUCUGUUAGGUUUUCGAGAAUCCAGAAAGACGUAACAACCAAAGUUACUGGCGCUUCUACCUAUUAGUCUAUGAACCAAACUCAGUCAAACUUUAUGAGCGAUAUCCGAUUAUUUUUCAACUCUUUACCAUUGGGAGCUGCUCGUGCCGGCAGUUCGAGGCUGCUACUAAAUUGCAUUAUCUACUAUUCGUGACCAACUUCUAUUGGGAAUUUUCAACUGCAUUUUAGUAGAGUGGAUUGCAAAUUAACAAUGCAACAUUGUUCAGUUUUGGAUAUUAAUGGUACAACUUGAUACUCAUCGUCUACAUAUCAUGUUGUUUGAUAUUCAGAGUGAGUAAGGUUUUGAAUAGUAAUCACAAACACUUUAUGUCUGCAAGAGACAGUUGCCACUUUUCAUCGACUGGCCCAGUAGCUUAUUUGUCAUUCCGAAUUGUAUAGAAAAGAGAGACAAAAAGAUGUUAAAAAAAAGUAUUGGUUUUUGUACACUACCUAGAAUAUACCUACACUCACGCGGACGAAGCCACGAGAUACAACUAAUUAAGGUCCAUUUGGUUUUUUAUAGUUAAAAGUUUCGUAAGCAUACAUUAUAUUUUAAUAUAAUAACUACUGAUUUAAUUUACGCAUAAUUAGUUCGAGAAAGCUCGACUGGUUUCGGGAUCAAUUCCUAAUCCUUAAUCAUGAGCAGCUGUGACGCAAUCAUCGUAAUAGAUAAGAAAAACGGUGUUCGGAACACUUUGGGUAUGAACGGCUUGGCUUCUAGGUCUUCCUCUUCGUCUGAGGUGUUAUUUCCACUGUUUUUUUUAAGGGAUGAUAAUGGAAUGGUAGCCCCGCCUACGAUGUUGGUAUACAUUGAUGGGGCACCAGUAAAGGAUGAUAAAUGAAGAUGAAGCAGGUCAGUCAGCCCAUCGAGAAAAAUUCACCAAUGAAUCAAUCACAAUCGUUUUCAGGGGGAACCGCGAGGAGGUUUAUUUGUGUUUAAUUACACUUAAAUUAAACCGGUAGUUAUUACAACUGGUUUUUGAUCAAGAGUAAACUACUGCAUACUUUAUAGUUGCAACGCUGGUGAUCUUUCAGGUAUUAAUUAUAUUCAUGGAUAUAGAAAUGGGACUUCGAAUAACAAAAAAAGUGACGGCUCGUCUGAUGUAAAGUGGGCUCAGAAAACAGCGAUGUCAAAGAUGCCACUUCAUAUAUUUAGCUUAGGGCCAUCAAAGAGUCUUAGAGUGAGAUGGCGGCUAAUGGCCUACUAACUUCCAUAAUAAGAGUUUAUGUUACAGCCUCAAGGAGGGACUAAUGACUGCAAAUAAAUAUAUAACGACCGAGUACCGGUUUUAUUAAGUCCUAAUUCGUCAUUUGUUAAAGCGAAGUGUGCGCUUUAAGCAGCUUCAAAAAGGAUUUUGUCUAUUUGGCUGUUUUUUAUAUGUAACGCGAUAUCUCGACCAAUUUUGAACUACCUAUAUGCAUAUAUGUAUAACAGGAAUUUUACGAACUUGCUAUGUUUGUCGUUUCCGAAAAUUGACAGCCCAUAGAGAGAUGCUGUGACGCAAAACGUCGUACGUACCUUAAAGAAAACUGUCGAAUGAAGUCGAAACAGUUGUUGUGUUUUGUCACAUUAUACAUGACUCGAGAGAUUUUGUUAUCAAUAAUAAAGGAUAUGGCCUGGGAUAGAGCUGGCUGGAUGAGGAUGCAUGAAUUAGUUGCACCGACAAGAGGAAACUCUUAAAUGAAAAGAAGAAUAAAUAGUUUUGAUAACGGUUUUUGUCCGUUUAAGCUAAAUUAUAUAUUAUUGCAAAGGAAAAAACUGUCCGUUUUAAAAACAAAAUCUGUACCUAAACAUUCAAUUUCACGUUUUGAAUUAUUUGCAAUGCAGACUGUCUACGAAAUAUUUCGUACUUUAUCGAUGUGUAUGUACACGUGUGUGGGUAUGUGUUUACAUAGAAUUUGUUUUUGUUUUGCACAGAAUAUAUAUUUAGUCGCCUUGUAUUAAAAAUGUGUAGUUAAGUAUAUACGACAUUUUUUUUAAACAA